GAUGAAGAACGCAGCGAAAUGCGAUAAGUAAUGCGAAUUGCAGAAUUUCCGUGAGUCAUCGAAUCUUUGAACGCACAUUGCGCCCACUGGUAUUCCGGUGGGCAUGCCUGUUCGAGCGUCAUUAUCCUCCCUCAAACCCCGGGUUUGGUGUUGGACCCAAGUUGUGUGAACAACUGGUCUCAAAGACAAUGACGGCGUCCGUGGGACCCUCGGUGCAACGAGCUUUUAGGAGCACGCGCCGAGUUGCAAGGACCUUCCGGGCCGGUCUCCUUUACCUAUUUUACAAGGUUGACCUCGGAUCAGGUAGGAAUACCCGCUGAACUUAAGCAUAUCAAUAAGCGGAGGA
rnacentral:misc_RNA from 1 species